rnacentral:lncRNA from 1 species
CGGGACCCUGAGGUGUCCAGGAGGCCCCUCUUGGUUCUUCCCUUAGAGUCACUCUUGAAACGUGGACAGCAAGCGGUUUCUACAGGAUUAUGUCAUUUUUGGUGGAAAGGAUCAAAGAAGUGGAAGGUGGAAAAUCAAUGGAAAGAGUGGAGAGCGCUGAUGCGAAAAGAGCAAGAGCCAGACAAGAAUACCGGGAGAGAGAAGAACAAAGCUUUUCCCUCUCUGCUUCUGGAAUGUAAAUAUUAUCUCAGUUUGAAGAUAGAAGAGGGGCAAAGAACAACAGAUGCUUUCAUUCAACAGUACUUACCAAGUGGCCACUUUGAAUUAGGCCCAUAUGAAUCCAGUCAAAGCACCAUCAGGGGCUGCCAAAACUAGAAGAUCCCAGAUGUCCUGGUGCAGGAGGUGGUGAGUGUGGAUUAUGCGGAUUUGGGAGGGUGCUAGGAAGGAAGAACCCAGCUGGGGGUGGGGAUUGCCUUGUUGAAAGGUAGUGGAAGUGUCAGCCACAAAGCCCUGGCAGUUUGGGAGAAGGUGCCCUGGUGCCCCUGGGGCUCAUCUUUUCCCCAGCACAGGGUGCAAUGCACAAAGGCCCUCUGUGUCUAGCCUCAGGCUCCACUUCUGCCUCUCAGCCAAGCCCUCCAGUUUGGGGAGAAGCCAUUACAGCAGCUGGGCGGAAAAGAGCAGCCUCUGCUGGGGAGAGGGUGCCCGCCUGGAGAAAGAGGCUGCGGUGGCCCUUGUGGCUCAGCCCCUGUACUAGGAAGAGCAGCUUGCUGGAAUGCAGAUUCCUUUAGCCCCAGAGAACAAAAACCCAGGCAUGUAUGAAGCACAGAUGCUCACUGUCUCAGCUUCUUCUGCUUUUAUCGCCCCACCUUUUUUGAAAAAGCGUUAAAAUAAAAGUACAAAAUAAUGGCA